rnacentral:rRNA from 1 species
UACGUAGGGUGCAAGCGUUGUCCGGAAUUAUUGGGCGUAAAGAGCUCGUAGGCGGUUUGUUGCGUCGGCUGUGAAAUCCCGAGGCUCAACCUCGGGUCUGCAGUCGAUACGAGCAAACUAGAGUGUUGCAGGGGAGACUGGAAUUCCUGGUGUAGCGGUGAAAUGCGCAGAUAUCAGGAGGAACACCGGUGGCGAAGGCGGGUCUCUGGGCAACAACUGACGUGGAGGAGCGAAAAGCGUGGGGGAGCGAAACAGG